rnacentral:rRNA from 1 species
GAUGAACGCUGGCGGCGUGCCUAAUACAUGCAGGUAGAACGCUGAAGGAAGGAGCUUGCUCUUUCCGGAUGAGUUGCGAACGGGUGAGUAACGCGUAGGUAACCUGCCUGGUAGCGGGGGAUAACUAUUGGAAACGAUAGCUAAUACCGCAUAACAGUAGAUGUUGCAUGAUAUCUACUUAAAAGGUGCAAUUGCACCACUACCAGAUGGACCUGCGUUGUAUUAGCUAGUUGGUGAGGUAACGGCUCACCAAGGCGACGAUACAUAGCCGACCUGAGAGGGUGAUCGGCCACACUGGGACUGAGACACGGCCCAGACUCCUACGGGAGGCAGCAGUAGGGAAUCUUCGGCAAUGGACGGAAGUCUGACCGAGCAACGCCGCGUGAGUGAAGAAGGUUUUCGGAUCGUAAAGCUCUGUUGUAAGAGAAGAACGAGUGUGAGAGUGGAAAGUUCACACUGUGACGGUAUCUUACCAGAAAGGGACGGCUAACUACGUG